AUGCAUUUAUGGUGAAAUUCAUUAUGAGGGGUGGUGGUCAACUUAAAAAGGAGCCAUUCAAAGCUAUACUAUGUAAUUCAAGGUAAUUUUGGCCUUAUGACAUUGCAAAAAUCUCUUGUUCCUUGUCUAUUUUUUCAUUUAUGUAAUUUUUAUUUUCUCUAUUUAGUGGACUUCUCUGUAAGAACAUCAGACUCUUCAUAGAAGAUGAAGACUUGCCAUGAUCAAGAAUACCAGCUAUUUGCUGAAGUUCAUCUUUCAAAACGAACAGCAUGGAGUACAGUACUCAUCAGAUGCUGUGAACAGGUGUAGCCCAAAUGCAACAGAUUCAGACUUUGAUGCAGCAAUGGCAGAUCACCUGAAGCACACUGGGGUUGAUGGAUACUUGUUUUAUGGCUGUUUUAACAGUAAUACAAGACUGUUAGGAAAUAA